rnacentral:rRNA from 1 species
GAUGAACGCUGGCGGCGUGCCUAAUACAUGCAAGUCGAGCGAAGCGGGGACGGGUGAGUAACACGUGGAUAACCUCCUAUAAGACUGGGAUAACUUCGGGACACCAGAGCUAAAACGGAUACUUAUAGCUGGAUCCUCGCUGCAUUAGCUAGGUGGUAAGGUAACGGCUUACAAAGGCAACGCUGCAUACCCGACCUGAGAGGUGGAUCGGCCACACUGUAACUUAGACACGUUCCAGACUCCUACGGGAGGCAGCAGUAGGGAAUGUUCCGCAAUGGGCGAAAGCCUGACGGAGCAACGCCGCGUGAGUGAUGAAGGUCUUCGGAUCGUAAAACUCUGUUAUUAGGGAAGCGGUACCUAAAGAGAAAGCCACGGCUAACUCCGUGCCAGCAGCCGCGGUAAUUG